AUGUCCGACGUGACGGCGGUGAUGGAUCUGGAGGUGGAGGAGCUGAAGCUGGCGCUUCCACCGGGCUUCCGGUUCCACCCCACCGACGAAGAGGUGGUCACCCACUACCUCACCCGCAAGGUCCUCCGCGAAUCCUUUUCCUGCCAAGUGAUCGCCGACGUCGACCUCAACAAGACCGAGCCGUGGGAUCUCCCCGGUGAGUACUACUACUCCCUCCUUGACAGGAGCGUUCGUUUGAUUCGAUUUGCAGCGCGCUCAUGGCCGGCGGUUCGUUUUGCAGGGAAGGCGAAGAUGGGCGAGAAAGAGUGGUUCUUUUUCGUGCACAAGGGCCGGAAGUACCCGACGGGGACGCGCACCAACCGCGCGACGGAGAAGGGGUACUGGAAGGCGACGGGGAAGGAUAAGGAGAUCUUUCGCGGCAAGGGCCGGGACGCCGUCCUCGUCGGCAUGAAGAAGACGCUCGUCUUCUACACCGGCCGCGCCCCCAGCGGCGGGAAGACGCCGUGGGUGAUGCACGAGUACCGCCUCGAGGGCGAGCUGCCCCAUCGCCUUCCCCGCACCGCCAAGGACGAUUGGGCUGUUUGCCGGGUGUUCAACAAAGACUUGGCGGCGAAGAAUGCUCCGCAAAUGGCGCCGGCGGCCGGCGGGGCCAUGGAGGACCCGCUCGCCUUCCUCGAUGACUUGCUCAUCGACACCGACCUCAACCUGUUCGACGACGCGGACCUGCCGAUGCUCAUGGACUCUCCGUCUGGCGCUGACGACUUCGCCGGCGCUUCGAGCUCCACCUCCAGCGCCGCCCUGCCGCUCGAGCCGGACGCGGAGCAUUUGACUAUCAAGAUGGAGCCGCCGCCGCAGCAGCAGCAGCAGAUGCAGAGCCCAGACUACUUCAUGCCGGCGACGGCCAACGGCAAUCUUGGCGGUGCCGGGUACUCAACCUACCAGGCUGUGGUGGACCAGCAGGCCGCGAUCCGCAUGUACUGCAAGCCGAAGGCGGAGGUAGCGUCUUCGUCGGCGCUGGGCUUGGACAUGGGGGCGCUCGCCGGCGCGGACACCUCGUUCCUGAUGCCGUCGUCGCGGUCGUGCCUCGAUCUGGAGGAGCUGUUCCGGGGCGAGGCUCUCAUGGACUACUCCGACAUGUGGAAGAUCUGA
rnacentral:rRNA from 1 species